GUCUACGGCCAUGCUACCCUGAACAAGCCCAAUCCCAUUUGAUCUCGGAAGCAAGGCAGGGUAAGGCCUGGUUAGUACUUGAAUGGGAAACCGCCUAAGAAGAUCAGGUGCUGUAGGUG
rnacentral:rRNA from 1 species